rnacentral:rRNA from 1 species
ACCUGAAAUCAAGCAAGAACACCCGCUGAACUUAAGCAUAUCAGUAAGCGGAGGAAAAGAAACUAACAAGGAUUGCCUUAGUAGUGGCGAAUGAACCGGCAAUAGCUCAAAGUGUUAAUCUGUGGCGUACAGUUACAGAAUUGUAAUCUAAAGGCUUUUUAGGGAAGUCAUGAUUCUAGCAUAAGUUCCUUGAAAAGGGAUGCCAAAGAGGGUAAAAGCCCCGUGUUUGGCUAGGAUCGGAUGUACCGAAGGGCUCCAAGAGUCGGGUUGUUUGGGACUGCAGCCCUAAAUGGGAGAUAAACUUCUUCUAAAGCUAAAUAUUUAUGGGAAACCGAUAGCAAACAAGUACUACGAAGGAAAGAUGAAAAGAACUUUGAAAAGAGGGUUAAAAGACUUGAAAUCGUUGAGAAGAAAAGCGGUAGAAGAGAAAUGAUUUCGUUGCGAGUAUGUGCUGUUGUUGUUGCUUUCAGGGGGGAUGGUACUUCAUAGGGCCUACCUUUUGACUAGUGGCGCAUAGGUGCUUUGUCGUAAUGAAGUGCAAAAUGAGGUCUCGUUUAUGGAAACGUUUWUGCGGAAGACGCUGGCCUUGAUGCUGGCAGCUGCGAUUUCCAA